rnacentral:rRNA from 1 species
CCUACGGGGGGCUGCAGUGAGGAAUAUUGGUCAAUGGGCGCAAGCCUGAACCAGCCAUCCCGCGUGAAGGAAGAAGGCGCUAUGCGUUGUAAACUUCUUUUCCAGGGGGAGAAUUUUUCCGUCGUGACGGGAAUUGACGGUACUCUGGGAAUAAGCAUCGGCUAACUCCGUGCCAGCAGCCGCGGUAAUACGGAGGAUGCGAGCGUUAUCCGGAUUUAUUGGGUUUAAAGGGUGCGUAGGCGGAUAGAUAAGUCAGUGGUGAAAUUCUGCAGCUUAACUGUAGACUUGCCGUUGAUACUGUCAGUCUUGAGUAUGGUCAAGGCAGGCGGAAUGUGUAAUGUAGCGGUGAAAUGCUUAGAUAUUACACAGAACACCGAUUGCGAAGGCAGCUUGCUGGGCCAUUACUGACGCUGAUGCACGAAAGCGUGGGGAUCGAACAGGAUUAGAUACCCCAGUAGUC